AUUGAACGCUGGCGGCAGGCCUAACACAUGCAAGUCGAACGAGUGGCGGACGGGUGAGUAAUGUCUGGGAAACUGCCCGAUGGAGGGGGAUAACUACUGGAAACGGUAGCUAAUACCGCAUACCAUCGGAUGUGCCAAGAUGGGAUUAGCUAGUAGGUGGGGUAACGGCUCACCUGGGCGACAAUCCCUAGCUGGUCUGCGCGGAUGACCAGCCACCCUGGAACUGCGACACGGUCCAGACUCCUACGGGAGGCAGCAGUGGGGAAUAUUGCACAAUGGGCGCAAGCCUGAUGCAGCCAUGCCGCGUGUAUGAAGAAGGCCUUCGGGUUGUAAAGUACUUUCAGCGAGGAGGCGUUACUCGCAGAAGAAGCACCGGCUAACUCCGUGCCAGCAGCCGCGGUAAUAC
rnacentral:rRNA from 1 species